GACGAACGCUGGCGGCGUGCUUAACACAUGCAAGUCGAACGGAAAGGCCCUGCUUUUGUGGGGUGCUCGAGUGGCGAACGGGUGAGUAACACGUGAGUAACCUGCCCUUGACUUUGGGAUAACUUCGGGAAACUGGGGCUAAUACCGGAUAGGAGCUCCUGCUGCAUGGUGGGGGUUGGAAAGUUUCGGCGGUUGGGGAUGGACUCGCGGCUUAUCAGCUUGUUGGUGGGGUAGUGGCUUACCAAGGCUUUGACGGGUAGCCGGCCUGAGAGGGUGACCGGCCACAUUGGGACUGAGAUACGGCCCAGACUCCUACGGGAGGCAGCAGUGGGGAAUAUUGCACAAUGGGCGGAAGCCUGAUGCAGCAACGCCGCGUGCGGGAUGACGGCCUUCGGGUUGUAAACCGCUUUCGCCUGUGACGAAGCGUGAGUGACGGUAAUGGGUAAAGAAGCACCGGCUAACUACGUGCCAGCAGCCGCGGUGAUACGUAGGGUGCGAGCGUUGUCCGGAUUUAUUGGGCGUAAAGGGCUCGUAGGUGGUUGAUCGCGUCGGAAGUGUAAUCUUGGGGCUUAACCCUGAGCGUGCUUUCGAUACGGGUUGACUUGAGGAAGGUAGGGGAGAAUGGAAUUCCUGGUGGAGCGGUGGAAUGCGCAGAUAUCAGGAGGAACACCAGUGGCGAAGGCGGUUCUCUGGGCCUUUCCUGACGCUGAGGAGCGAAAGCGUGGGGAGCGAACAGGCUUAGAUACCCUGGUAGUCCACGCUGUAAACGGUGGGUACUAGGUGUGGGGUCCAUUCCACGGGUUCCGUGCCGUAGCUAACGCUUUAAGUACCCCGCCUGGGGAGUACGGCCGCAAGGCUAAAACUCAAAGGAAUUGACGGGGCCCCGCACAAGCGGCGGAGCAUGCGGAUUAAUUCGAUGCAACGCGUAGAACCUUACCUGGGUUUGACAUGGAUCGGGAGCGCUCAGAGAUGGGUGUGCCUCUUUUGGGGUCGGUUCACAGGUGGUGCAUGGCUGUCGUCAGCUCGUGUCGUGAGAUGUUGGGUUAAGUCCCGCAACGAGCGCAACCCUUGUUCACUGUUGCCAGCACAUUAUGGUGGGGACUCAGUGGAGACCGCCGGGGUCAACUCGGAGGAAGGUGGGGAUGACGUCAAGUCAUCAUGCCCCUUAUGUCCAGGGCUUCACGCAUGCUACAAUGGCUGGUACAGAGAGUGGCGAGCCUGUGAGGGUGAGCGAAUCUCGGAAAGCCGGUCUCAGUUCGGAUUGGGGUCUGCAACUCGACCUCAUGAAGUCGGAGUCGCUAGUAAUCGCAGAUCAGCAACGCUGCGGUGAAUACGUUCCCGGG
rnacentral:rRNA from 1 species